CUUAGUAACGGCGAGUGAAGCGGCAAAAGCUCAAAUUUGAAAUCUGGCACCUUCGGUGUCCGAGUUGUAAUUUGAAGAAGGUAACUUUGGAGUUAGCUCUUGUCUAUGUUCCUUGGAACAGGACGUCACAGAGGGUGAGAAUCCCGUGCGAUGAGAUGUCUAACUCUAUGUAAAGUGCUUUCGAAGAGUCGAGUUGUUUGGGAAUGCAGCUCUAAGUGGGUGGUAAAUUCCAUCUAAAGCUAAAUAUUGGCGAGAGACCGAUAGCGAACAAGUACAGUGAUGGAAAGAUGAAAAGAACUUUGAAAAGAGAGUGAAAAAGUACGUGAAAUUGUUGAAAGGGAAGGGUUUGAGAUCAGACUUGGUAUUUUGUAUGUCUUGCUUUCGGGUGGGGCCUCUGCAGUUUACUGGGCCAGCAUCGGUUUGGAUGGUAGGAUAAUGACAUUGGAAUGUGGCACUACUUCGGUGGUGUGUUAUAGACUUUGUUGAUACUGCCUGUCUAGACCGAGGACUGCGUCUUUGACUAGGAUGCUGGCAUAAUGAUCCUAAAC
rnacentral:rRNA from 1 species